rnacentral:misc_RNA from 1 species
GGGAACUAUCGGGCGUUAUCGUGACCCUCGAUCGGCACCUCGAGGGCGUCGAGGUGUACCGUGGCGUUCCGUACGCGUCGCCGCCGAUCGGCUCGUUGCGUUUUAUGCCCCCUGUCAGCAGUGCGCUUUGGCACGGCGUUAAGGUGGCCGAUAAAUUCGGGCCUGUUUGCCCGCAAAGGUUGCCCGAGCUUACCGACAAAAUGCCGAAAGGUAGAGUCGAGUACUUGAGAAGACUGCUGCCCUACCUAAAGAACCAGAGCGAGGAUUGCCUGUACCUAAACAUUUACGCACCGGUUCAAGGAUAAAGGACUUCAAACGCUCGCAAUUAGACCCGUCCAGAUGAAAUAUGUAUGGAUCGGCCUUCGAAACGCAACACGCCUCGAUUCU